rnacentral:lncRNA from 1 species
GAAAGUCAGAGCGAUUCAGAUCGACAAUCAAUAUGUGCGCCUACAUUGUGUUAGUCCCGUUGCUGAUGUUUAUAAAGUCAAUAUAUACUGGCAAGCAGCAACGUCUAGGAAUAUACGGUAUACAUAUAACAAAAUGAGAAUAUUCACAGACCCUAGUGUGUGCGACAACACUUCAGACUGGUUCCAUUGCUGGGAGAGCAACGUCGGCGAGGGUACCUGCACGGAUACGUAACACUCAAGUGUGCAACGGGCUGGCGGACUGUCCGAAUGGCGAGGAUGAGUCGAUUUUAGAGUGCAAACACGAGCCGAAACUAUCGCAUUACUCGUAUUUCUACUGUGCCACUGGAGCGGCGAUCGAAAUGAAAUAGAAGUGUGACGGAGAAGUCGACUGCAGCGACGGAUCGGAUGAGUUGCGGACGAUGUGUCAGCCUGGAAAAGAAAUUAAUCGUUGAGGAAAUUGUAAAGGGUAGGGAUGAAGUCUUAAAGACAAAAACUGUGCUCUAAGUCGUUCUUCACCGUCAGAAAUUUGUCGUUCGAGUGCCGACCAGGAGAGUGUGUCCGCAAUGGCAGACUCAUAUACACUGAACGGAUCUGCAAUGGCAUCUACGACUGCAUCGAUGGUGCGGAUGAGCUGCCAAAUGUUUGCGAUAAGGAGACAGACACAAAGAAAUGCCAGGAGCCACGAGCACCGCUCUCCUUCACACUAGACACCAAAUAUCAUCGUGGCAUCAAUGGCACAAAAUAUGUUUUGCCUCUCGAAGUGGUGAAGGUGCAGUGUAUACCCACGAAAAGAUUAACUGCCACGAGCUCCGAGUGGAAUGUCUGCGGAGCGAAUGGUAAAUGGGCACAUCAUUGGCCAAAGUGUAAGAAAGCUAGAUAUUAAGCAUAAAGCAUCUUUGGCUGUCAAAAAUCUAAUAUUAAUUGUCUCCAUCAUCAUUCAGGUUAAAACCCCCAUAAAGGCACCCAAACUGAUGACUUUCGAUUAAUCAUUUGCCUUUGGUAUCCUUUUAUUUCCACAUUUUCCCUGCACAUGUGUCAUCUGUGGGAAAAGACAGUCAGACAUUCGCUCCAUUUAUGCAAAGUUCUUUUUUUGUGUGUCCGUGGUGUGGCUGCAGACAGGCAGACAUUUGUAUCUGCGUAUCUGUGUAUCUGUGUAUCUGUGACUAUAACAAGCAACGAAUCGGGCGAGACAUCAAAUUAAUUCACAAAAAUGUACUCUGUUCGGCAUGCAAGGACUCACAAUGCUGGAUUUCAGAGAAAUCCUCAGCAAUUUGUUCAACAAAUGUUGGACUCAAUCACUCAGGAGUAGGGGGACAGGACAAGUACAAGGACAAGGAGCAGGCAUUCCUCCCUUGUAUUCUACUCUGUUUCAUCCUGUAUCGUCUUGUUCUGUUUAGUACUGUAUCGUCUUGCUCUAUGCUGUUUUGUCAUGUCAACGCCAUGGCAUGGAAUCCACCACAAGGAUGCCCUGAAAUCAACUUUGCACUGAAUACAAAAAAAGUAGCAAUGUAAAGAACUUGUGUGCCUAGAGACGACGACGACGUCCCUGAGAAAAAGAAGGCGAAACAUUUCAAUAGUUUUCCAGUUGCAGAGAAAGUCUUCAACUAUUUGACAAAAAGUCAGACGUAAAAGUUGAAAUGAAACUUUCCUCCUCUUUGGUGGGAGGUAGGGUUUUCCCUGUGC